rnacentral:tRNA from 1 species
UAAUAAGUAAUGAAGUAAAAAUUACAUUUAGUUUCGACCUAAAAUUAGAGUUAAACUCCUUACUUAUUAA